CCCAGGGAUAAGUGCCACAGAGAGAAGUCCGCCUGCUGCGGCAGGUAAGGGUGAAAGGGUGAGGUAAGAGCUCACCGGGUCUGGCGGUGACGUCAGAUGCCAGGUAAACCCCGUCAGGAGCAAGGCCAAAUAGGGAGGCGUCAAGGGCGACCCGCCCGUGCCUCCGGGUUGGCUGCUUGAGGCUGCCGGUAACGGCAGACCCAGAUGAAUGGCCAUCACCCGGCCAGGGGUAACCCGAUCCGGGGACAGAACCCGGCUUACGGACUGCUUCAACCA
rnacentral:RNase_P_RNA from 1 species